GCUUCUUCUUUUGCUUCUUUCUCUCCUUCUUGAUAGCAUCUUCAUCAUCACUAUCAUAAGGACACUUGGCGAUGAGAUGAUCCUUUCUAUGGCAUCUAAAGCACCUCAUGGAAUGGUCAUUCUUCUUGGAGGAGCUUUUCUUCCUUCUUGCCCGAUAGCCCUUCUUCCUCAUAAACUUUCCAAAUCUUUUGACAAGAAGAGCCAUCUCCUCAUCUUCAUCACUAUCACAAGAGCUUG
rnacentral:lncRNA from 1 species